UGCAGCUCCACUUCAGACACACUCUGUGAGCCUCUGGAAGGUCACUACUGUACUGACCCAAUCAAAGAUGGAUGCCGAGGAGCUGCGGAACACACAAAGUGCUCACCAGGGCAGUACGUCAACCAGACAGGUACAGCAUCCACAGAUACUGUGUGUGGUGACUGUGUAGGCGACACAUACUCAGAUGGAUCAUUCACAUCCUGCAGACCACACACACGG